GGCUAUAGCUCAGUGGUAGAGUACCUGCUUAGCAUGCACAAGGUCUUGGGUUCAAUCCCCAGUACCUCCA
rnacentral:tRNA from 1 species